rnacentral:rRNA from 1 species
UACGUAGGGUGCGAGCGUUAAUCGGAAUUACUGGGCGUAAAGCGUGCGCAGGCGGUUUUGUAAGCCAGAUGUGAAAUCCCCGGGCUCAACCUGGGAAUGGCAUUUGGGACUGCAAGGCUUGAGUGCGGCAGAGGAGACUGGAAUUCCUGGUGUAGCAGUGAAAUGCGUAGAUAUCAGGAGGAAUACCGGUGGCGAAGGCGGGUCUCUGGGCCGAUACUGACGCUGAGGAGCGAAAGCGUGGGGAGCGAACAGG